UACAGAGGGUGCGAGCGUUAAUCGGACUUACUGGGCGUAAAGCGCGCGUAGACGGUUUUGUAAGUCAGAUGUGAAAUCCCUGGGCUCAACCUGGGAACUGCAUUUGAGACUGCAUGGCUAGAGUAUCGAAGAGGGAAGUGGAAUUUCCGGUGUAGCGGUGAAAUGCGUAGAUAUCGGAAGGAACACCAGUGGCGAAAGCGACUUCCUGGUCGAAUACUGACGUUCAUGUGCGAAAGCGUGGGGAGCAAACAGG
rnacentral:rRNA from 1 species